rnacentral:lncRNA from 1 species
CUCUUUAUGAUGCUACGGACGGCUGUCCGAAGUGCAUGCAAUGACGGGCUCGGAUAGGAUAGGAUUGUGCGCGCCGGGCCCUUCGGGUGUCCAUAUUUUGGCCGACCUUAGCGUAUAUACUAUGUUAUGCGGCCGUAAUAUUUUGAUACCUUCCACCGCUGUUACGCCAGAAAUCCAAGGUUCCACACGAGCUCCUGUUCUGCGGCGUGGUGGCAGGACCGCUAGGGGAUUGGCUCCGGGUGUAGGUAGGGUCAAAUCCGCAGGGGUCAUGCAAAUACAUAGGCCCCUUCCCUUCUGCCGAGUUGUUUAGAAGGCGCUUUCCGUUCUACGGUCCCUCGGAGCGAAGGGUUAGGCAGGUAGUACGGGCCCUCUGACUUCCAGCUAUGUGCUGUGUGCGACUCCCGCGAAGCGAAUGAAGGGAAGCUCUUCGAGCUUUCUCCGCCAGCGGCUUAUGUAGUGGUCGGCAUUCCUACGUGCUCCGACUGAUCCCCACUGGAGAUUAUAUGAGGGGUCUUGGAAACUGUCGUGACGCUUUGGUGACGAAGGUCACCGGGGUGACUAUGGAAGGAUUCCGUGGUAGUCUCUGACUCCCUCCAACUCAAUCAAUAUCAAGAACAUGUCGUGAGCAUGGGGGUUUGGCCGACUACUAAACUAGACUAUUGGCUAGGGCUUUUCUAGUUAUAGCUUCUAUAGUGAGUGGCCCUUCCGCUUUGAUCUAGUUGUAGUUUGUAUUGUACUAAAUUGAACACAUAUCAAAGAAAGGCGAUCAAUCAAUAAGUAGUUGCCCUUCUCCGGCCUGGGAAAAGCAGCGAACUCGUUAAACUAGGGGCUUUUUUAUUCAUGGUCGCUACUGUUGUAUUGUAUAUUGUCGGGGGAAGCUACUGCUUUUACGACAGCUCCGCUUCCUCGUCUUGCUUCUACUUUGCUUGUUUGCGCGAAGGCUUAGAGUCCUUUUCGCUAGGUCCAAAUUCGUCAAAGCGAAAGAUCUGAUCCAACGGAAAUCCCGCAUAUUGAGCGCAGCUGAUAUGUGGCUACUAGGCGCGAUCAUCCCGCAUGCCAUAAAAUAAAUACUUCUUUUUUUUAUGGCCCGUCAUAUAAAGAUAGAAUAGAUAUGGAUAGAGAGACAUUCUAUUGAUUCGCGAAAUGGCUCGUCGAUCCAAAUGAAUCAUUCUUCUGGUCUCUCUCUGCCCCCCCGCCCCAAAACUGACCCACGACACAGCGCCCAUUCGUUUCGCGCGCGGGAAGGCAACGAAGUUCAGUUCAAAAGACCGCAGCGGAGUGGAGCAGCCGCGACACGAAGUUCCUUACCUUAGCUGGAUCUCGCUGGUGCCACCUAAACGGUAGGUAUAGGCGGCGGAUGUCUGACGUUUGGAGUUGUCGUUCGUGCACCUGUCCCCAAUAGAAGAAUGAGUGAUCCCUUCCCCUGCGGAUCAUGGCCUUACCACUAGGUCCCCGAUGGCCAGCGGGGGAUUCGGUAUAGCAGCUCACGUUCGUUUGCGCUUCGCGUUCCCGCUGGACUGGACACGUGUUAGCUGUAGGAAGUAUGGUUACGAAAGUGACUUCGGUUCGCCAGUUCAGGCUCAACUCCUCGCUUUACGUUAGCGGACUUACAGGUCGGGCCGGGGCUCCACGCUCUUUCUUUCUGUGUGGGACGAUGCCGGGGAAUGUGUCGAGGCGGCGAACAACAACAAGACAACUAACUACAUUUGCUUUUUCCCUCCAUGAGAUGAGCCAGUGCAUUGGACCGAUGGAUAAUAGAACUGAGCUGGCCAAACGCUUGGGCGCUCUACAUACGAUGUAGAAAAAAUCAGAUACAUAUCGAUUUCUUUCUGAUGGAUCCAGAAUAGAUAGAUAUCUUGUAUCAUCAAUAGAUAGAAAGAGGUCAACCCUUAUUAUUGAUAGAAAACCUUUCGAUCUAUCAGAACAGAUCAGGCCAUCUAUCAAUCGAUUUGAAUCAUCUCGCUUUUCGUUCAUUUCAGCCACGCCAUAAUAGCCGCCACAAUAAGAAAGAAGCAAGCGAAACAGCUAGAAGCGCUCGCUUCGCCGCGCCCAACAAUUCUUAUUCACGGGAAAGCCAACCGAAAGAUUCGAUUCGGACUUCGUAGAGCCGGUGCUGCUGCUGUCUGCGUAGGGCCGUCCCCCACUCCCGUCCCGGGGCGCUAAGGGGUUUUGUUUUAGGAACAGACGGCGGUGUUUUGCUGACGCCUCGAAUCGACGCUUUUGUUGCGACAUGCUAAGUUUUCUCCCCUAUUGCUAGUAGGUUGAUGGGUCGCACGCCCGGCACACAUGUUUUGGCCUUGCUUGUGUGUCCAUAACUCAAAAUAGGUGACCUAACGGCCGCCGCCCGACUAAACAUACCAAUAGUCACCAAAUUCAUAUGGGCUACUGAGGAGUAGGCAAUGAUCUUCUUAAGAUCGAUCUGUCUUAAAGUGGUCAAGGAAGUAUAUAUUAUAGCAAUCGCGCUUAGAGUAUAAAUGAAAGGAGUGAAACAAAGUGUCGCUUCGGGAAACAUGGGUAUUGAAAAUCUUAAAAACCCGUAGGUUCCCAAUUUUAAAAGAAUUCCAGCCAAGAUGACGGAUCCAGCCGUAGGUGCCUCUACAUGGGCUUCGGGUAACCAAAUAUGAACUGGUACCAUAGGCACUUUGACGGCAAAAGAGGCGAAAAAAGCAAUCCAUAGAAGGAUUUGGCGCCGCUCACUAAAUUCAGUGGUUAAUAAAAUUUGUAAAUCGGUGGUUCCUGUUUGGAGAAGAAUCAACAGAAUAGCUAAUAGCAUAAAAACGGAUCCAAGUAAAGUAUAUAGGAAAAACUGAUAUGCUGCCUUGAUCUUUCUUUGUCUCGAACCCCAUACCCCUAUAAUGAUGGUAGAGUCAGGGGUGGCCCCAAAGCGGAAUUGACCGGUGGUAGUUGGUCGAAGCUCCAGUGGGUAGCCACUCCCUUCUCAGGGAACCGUACGUGAGACUUCCGCAUCAUACGGCUCCGUCCCGAGCUUCCGUCGUCGGCCCUUGUCAUUAGACCACUAUGCUUGUCUUUUCCGCCUUGACUCUCGAAUCUUUUGCUUCUCGGGUGGUGGCGAACAAUGCUGCUUGCGUAGCGGGAGAUGCCCGCCCGUCGUUUAGGCCUGCUUCCUGCCCGAAAGAAGGCUAGCCGGACUAGUGGUAGGGGACCCGACCGUAAAAAACCCUACCCUAUUCUCGAACCCUCUGCCGAGCUCUACCCUGCCCGCAUUUAUUUGGAAGGGGGCCAAAGAAAUGUCUCCACCUGCUGCCAACAGUCUUUCUUCGGAAUUCUACUGAACGGGUCGAUCCUCCCCUCCGUUUGUUUUAGCAACUUAUCCUAAGGUCUCUUCGCCAAGAACUCUCCGGCAACGACAGAGGAACUAACCUGCCUGCAGUGGCGGGGCGGCUUUUUUUUUUUGAAAUAAGACCUGGACGAUUAUCCCUACCCUCGGUAGCUUACGAGUUUACGUCCAUCCCUGGUCGGGUACAGUUUCCUUUAUUUUUAUCCCUUGUAGCCGUUACCCGAAUUCGCGCAAGUGUGUCCACACCCCCCCUGACUUGACGAGGAAUCCAUUCUCGCGAACAAACACACCCCCUACACACACCUAGGAGCACCCCUUCCUGCAUAUCCAUACAAGACCUGAGUAGGCGGGUCGAGGUCCUACGAGGUACCCACUACUCGGAGUACCCUCCCACCAAAAAAAGAUGUGUGGUUCGGUGGUUCGACCAGAAAUGCUAUGCUUACGCACAAGACUACCCCUCUUCCCGAAAGCUUCGCGGGGACCUUUACUACUUUACGACGACGGGGGACCGCCCGUAGGGGGUUUACUGCACAAGGCCCCUGCAGAGGAAAAGCUUGAUCCCAGCGAAUAGAAGAUGCUCAGCUCCGCACAACAUAGGGAUUGGCACGCUUUCGGAAAGAACAUAGAAUAGUAGAGGAUCCAGCAUGCAGGACACGGCGAUCAUUAGAAAUUCACGAAUUAGAAAUGCUGUAAUAUACUCUUUCCCAAAACUUCUCAUACCAGACCAACCCACUGAAAUGCAAAUAGGGAUCAGAAAUGUGGUCAAUAUCACGAAGAAUAAUGAAAGACCGUCUAUACCCAUAUACAAAUGGAUGUUUUCAUAAGGAAGCCAUCGAAGGCUUUCCACAAAUUGAGAUUUGGCCGUAGAAGGAUCGAAUUGUAUCCGAGGAACAGGGGGAUACAAAAAAGUAAUAAGAGAAACGCACAGACCAAUCAAUCGUAUCGGUCUUAUUGAAGAAUUUGGAAUGAAAAGAGGAGUAAUGCUUCCUAGCACGGGACAGAGAAUAGGACCACUUAGAUCGAAAUAGCAUUCACAGAAAUGUUCUAACAUAGAGUAGAAUUGAACAUUGAAAAGAUUAGUUGACAACAGUCAAUCAAAAGAUGGGGCGCCAAAUUACUAAACAAUAGGGGUCUUUCUGUGCAAGUCAGCUGAACACCGUAAUUGAUGAGUGAGUAGGUGGGUUAGGUGCACCCCUCGCCCAGUGGGAAGUCAUGAGGCUAGCCCCCCCCCCUGAAUGAAGAAGUAGUGGGGCCCCCUGCCCGCCCACGUAUGCGCCUUUAUUUAGAUUCUAACUAAAUAUUAUACUGAACUUUAUCCGGGAAUCUUUCUAAAGAAUCCAUCUGGCAAAACGAAAUUUGUCGAUUUCAAUCUAAGGUGCACCUUGCCUUUUUCAGGUAGCUUUGUUACGCCUAUUCAGCUAGGUGGGGCAUUGGUCAUAGCCGAAGUCGAAGGGAAAAAAUAAGGUAAUGAGAUGAUGGUGCCAUCAAGAAGUUUUCGACGAACGUAGUAGCGGCCAAAAAUGAAACUCUUGCAUGAAAGACCGGAUUUGACGCAAGAUGAAUGGCGUUGGGGUUUUUCAAAUGAAACCCGCGAUCAGAAAGUCACCAACGGAGCCAUACAAUCUAUCUAGUAGUGUGCCAUGGCACGGUACUCCGCUUCGGCAGUGGAAGGAGCAACUGUCUAUUGCUUUUAUCUCAUCCAAGAUAGUGUCUCGUCUCCCCAUAAAAUAGAUAAGCCUGUAGUUGAGCACCUAUCUGAAGGCCCAAUCGGCAUCAGUAGUUGCACGCAACUCUAAAGAAGACGAUGACGGAAAAAAGGACGGCUCGAGAAAAGGUACCUCGAAUAUAUCUAAGAAUCCGAUGAACUGCUGCAAAGUGAACUGACCGGGGGGCAGCCAUGAAAGGCUGACUUUCUUAGGAAAAGCCAUCUGGGCAAGAGAUCGUCAGAUAAACCAAACUGCCGACCUACUGUCUGUACUGCGUCGGAUCAGAUAAUGGUGAGCCAUCAGUCGGACGGAGUUUAACGUAAAGCUCCAAGGGAGUGUCAACAGUCUUCUCAUCAUUGAGUUGAGCUCGAGUGAUCAAGUCAUGACGUUAUUUGAUCUGAGAUACCAAAUAUCCACGAGGAGAAUGUGCGACCUCCAAGCCAAGAAAAGGCUUAGGGCGCGUCAGCGCCUUCAUAGCAAAUAAUUGAUGAAGGCGACACUUGAUCAGCGAUAUGGUAACGGAGUAAUCACCAGUCAGUUUGAUAUCAUCAACAUACAACAACAGAAUAGCACGUCCUCGAGGAUAAACUGAUACGAACAUGGCCGAAUCAUGAUCACUCCGAGCAAACCCUGCCUGGAUAACAUAACCACUGUGCUGAACUUCAAAAACCGACGCUAUCGGGGCUUGUUGAGACCAUAGAUCGCUUUGCGUAAAGGACAGACAAGAGAAGAAGUCAGAAGGGCAGGUUCUCUUUCAUCCGUCUUUUCUAGGUGCGCAUCUCCAUCUACUAAAAGUAGGGGUGGUUGCCAUAGAUAGAUUGGGUCAUUCGUAACCUGAGCAAUAACCGAUGCUACUACAGCAAUAACGGAAAUAACCGAUGCUACAGCAGAAACUACAGCUAUACGUGGCGGCCCCACACGCAGCUUUGUUUAACAAGCAUCACCCUUCCUUUCUUUUCAAAUGCUUCCUCAGUCAAUCAGCAGCUUAUUCGAUUCCUAUUCUUAUUAAACAUCUGAUAUAGAUGGUGGGAACAAUGAAGCAGAUUCUUCAUCUGUAGGUUGCAAUCCGUAUGAUUUCUUUUCUCGAUCUCCUGCUUGUGUUUCACCUCGCACCUAAGCAUCACGUUCCUAGGGACAGAGACAUCUGCGCUCUAAGGCAAUCAUAGUACUACCAGCAUGGUUACAUCGUUCUGCNN